rnacentral:lncRNA from 1 species
UUUUGUGUAUUCUCUCCUUUAUUUGCUUUUGGUUCUGUGUGUCAAAGCUGUAUGUUCUGACGUCUGUGACAUUCUCCUCAAUGCAGGGAAAUUUAUUAAAUUCAACCAGGUAAAGAUUUUAUCCAUGGAUAACUGGUACUGGCAGUAGAUAUCUGACCUAAAUUGGCAGUAGAUAUCUGACCUAAAUUGGCAGUAGGAGUGGUUGAGUGGGAGGACUGUGAUGACCUCGAUAUUGCAGAUUGUUUAGUGGCUAGAGAAUGUAGUUUAAAAUUACCAGAAUAACUAUAACAUAAAUGCUGGGUUCAGGCGGUUUCAUGAAAAGAUUUGUGCUUCUGAAUUAAUGACUUUACAGUUAUGAUACAGAAUCUGGUAGUGGAAUACUAGUAUUAUUUCAUCAUGGAAAAUCCUGUGUGGAUGUGUGUGUGUGUGUGUGUGUGAAAGAGGCAUAUUUGGUUACUGAAAGCAUUGGUAAUUGCAAGUA